rnacentral:rRNA from 1 species
UACGGGGGGGGCAAGCGUUGUUCGGAAUUACUGGGCGUAAAGGGCCAGUAGGCGGCCAACUAAGUCCGACGUGAAAUCCCAAGGCUUAACCUUGGAACUGCGUCGGAUACUGGAUGGCUUGAAUUCGGGAGAGGGAUGCAGAAUUCCAGGUGUAGCGGUGAAAUGCGUAGAUAUCUGGAGGAAUACCGGUGGCGAAGGCGGCAUCCUGGACCGGCAUUGACGCUGAUGAGCGAAAGCUAGGGGAGCAAACGGG